ACUCCUACGGGAGGCAGCAGUGGGGAAUAUUGCACAAUGGGCGCAAGCCUGAUGCAGCAACGCCGCGUGAGCGAUGAAGGCCUUCGGGUCGUAAAGCUCUGUCCUCAAGGAAGAAUAAAUGACGGUACUUGAGGAGGAAGCCCGGCUAACUACGUGCCAGCAGCCGCGGUAAUACGUAGGGGCAAGCGUUAUCCGGAAUCACUGGGCGUAAAGGGUGCGUAGGCGGUUUUUCAAGUCAGAAGUGAAAGGCUAUGGCUCAACCAUAGUAAGCUUUUGAAACUGUUAAACUUGAGUGCAGGAGAGGAAAGUGGAAUUCCUAGUGUAGAGGUGAAAUUCGUAGAUAUUAGGAGGAACACCAGUGGCGAAGGCGACUUUCUGGACUGUAACUGACGCUGAGGCACGAAAGCGUGGGAGCGAACAGGAUUAGAUACCCUGGUAGACUGUCA
rnacentral:rRNA from 1 species